UUGAAAAAUUUUUAUUUAAAAAGAAAAAUUAAUUAUUUGUACCUUGUGUAUCAGGGUUUAUUAAAUAAUUAAUAAAUAUAUUUAUUAAUUUCGAUUUUAUAAGAGUUAAUAAUUUAUUAAAGUUAAUGUAUCAAAAUUAUUUUUUAUAAAUUAUUAGAAAUGAAAUGUUAUUCGUUUAUAAAGAUAUCUAGUUUUUUUAGAAAUAAAUUUAAUUUAAAAAUUUUUAAUUUUAUUAAUUAAUUAUAUUAAUUAAUAAAUUUAUUAAUUUAAAUAUUUUAAGGGAUAAGCUUUAAAAUAAAUUUUUAUAAAUUAAUAAAAUAAUAAUUAAAAUUGUAUACAUAGAAUUAGUAAUUAUUAAAAAAUUUGUUAUAAAUUAUUUUAUAAAAUAUAUUAUUUAUUUUAAUUUUAAAUUUUUAUAAAAUUUUUUUUUUUAAUUUAAUUUAAAAAGUAAUAAUGAUAAAAUUAGUAUAUCUAUAUGUAAAUAUAAUUUAUUUUGAUAAGUUUAUAUAAAGAACUCGGCAAAUAUUUUACUCGCCUGUUUAACAAAAACAUGUCUUUUUGUGUUAUUUUUAAAGUCUAACCUGCCCAAUGAAUAAAAUUUUAAUGGCCGCAGUAUUUUGACUGUGCAAAGGUAGCAUAAUCAUUAGUCUUUUAAUUGAAGGCUUGAAUGAAUGGUUGGACGAAGUAUAAUCUGUUUCAUUUAAAUUUAUAAUAGAAUUUUAUAUUUUAGUAAAAAAGCUAAAAUAUUUUUAAAAGACGAGAAGACCCUAUAAAUCUUUAUAAUUUACAUAUUAUUUUUAUUUUUUGGAUUUAUUUUAUUUAAAUAAUUUAAAUUAUUUUGUUGGGGUGAUAUUAAAAUUUAAUAAACUUUUAAUUAAAUUAUUUCAUUAAUUUAUGUUUUAUUGAUCCAUUAAUAAUGAUUAAAAGAGUAAGUUACUUUAGGGAUAACAGCGUAAUUUUUUUGGAGAGUUCUUAUUGAUAAAAAAGUUUGCGACCUCGAUGUUGGAUUAAGAUAUAAUUUUAGGUGUA
rnacentral:rRNA from 1 species